rnacentral:piRNA from 1 species
UCACAAUGGAAGCCUGUGUGUCUUGAA